rnacentral:rRNA from 1 species
CACUCCUGCGGGAGGCAGCAGUGGGGAAUAUUGCACAAUGGGCGCAAGCCUGAUGCAGCCAUGCCGCGUGUAUGAAGAAGGCCUUCGGGUUGUAAAGUACUUUCAGCGGGGAGGAAGGCGAUAAGGUUAAUAACCUUGUUGAUUGACGUUACCCGCAGAAGAAGCACCGGCUAACUCCGUGCCAGCAGCCGCGGUAAUACGGAGGGUGCAAGCGUUAAUCGGAAUUACUGGGCGUAAAGCGCACGCAGGCGGUCUGUCAAGUCGGAUGUGAAAUCCCCGGGCUCAACCUGGGAACUGCAUUCGAAACUGGCAGGCUAGAGUCUUGUAGAGGGGGGUAGAAUUCCAGGUGUAGCGGUGAAAUGCGUAGAGAUCUGGAGGAAUACCGGUGGCGAAGGCGGCCCCCUGGACAAAGACUGACGCUCAGGUGCGAAAGCGUGGGGAGCAAACAGGAUUAGAAACCCCUGUAGUCCCA